GAUGAACGCUGGCGGCGUGCCUAAUACAUGCAAGUCGAGCGAACGGACGAGAAGCUUGCUUCUCUGAUGUUAGCGGCGGACGGGUGAGUAACACGUGGAUAACCUACCUAUAAGACUGGGAUAACUUCGGGAAACCGGAGCUAAUACCGGAUAAUAUUUUGAACCGCAUGGUUCAAAAGUGAAAGACGGUCUUGCUGUCACUUAUAGAUGGAUCCGCGCUGCAUUAGCUAGUUGGUAAGGUAACGGCUUACCAAGGCAACGAUGCAUAGCCGACCUGAGAGGGUGAUCGGCCACACUGGAACUGAGACACGGUCCAGACUCCUACGGGAGGCAGCAGUAGGGAAUCUUCCGCAAUGGGCGAAAGCCUGACGGAGCAACGCCGCGUGAGUGAUGAAGGUCUUCGGAUCGUAAAACUCUGUUAUUAGGGAAGAACAUAUGUGUAAGUAACUGUGCACAUCUUGACGGUACCUAAUCAGAAAGCCACGGCUAACUACGUGCCAGCAGCCGCGGUAAUACGUAGGUGGCAAGCGUUGUCCGGAAUUAUUGGGCGUAAAGCGCGCGUAGGCGGUUUUUUAAGUCUGAUGUGAAAGCCCACGGCUCAACCGUGGAGGGUCAUUGGAAACUGGAAAACUUGAGUGCAGAAGAGGAAAGUGGAAUUCCAUGUGUAGCGGUGAAAUGCGCAGAGAUAUGGAGGAACACCAGUGGCGAAGGCGACUUUCUGGUCUGUAACUGACGCUGAUGUGCGAAAGCGUGGGGAUCAAACAGGAUUAGAUACCCUGGUAGUCCACGCCGUAAACGAUGAGUGCUAAGUGUUAGGGGGUUUCCGCCCCUUAGUGCUGCAGCUAACGCAUUAAGCACUCCGCCUGGGGAGUACGACCGCAAGGUUGAAACUCAAAGGAAUUGACGGGGACCCGCACAAGCGGUGGAGCAUGUGGUUUAAUUCGAAGCAACGCGAAGAACCUUACCAAAUCUUGACAUCCUUUGACAACUCUAGAGAUAGAGCCUUCCCCUUCGGGGGACAAAGUGACAGGUGGUGCAUGGUUGUCGUCAGCUCGUGUCGUGAGAUGUUGGGUUAAGUCCCGCAACGAGCGCAACCCUUAAGCUUAGUUGCCAUCAUUAAGUUGGGCACUCUAAGUUGACUGCCGGUGACAAACCGGAGGAAGGUGGGGAUGACGUCAAAUCAUCAUGCCCCUUAUGAUUUGGGCUACACACGUGCUACAAUGGACAAUACAAAGGGCAGCGAAACCGCGAGGUCAAGCAAAUCCCAUAAAGUUGUUCUCAGUUCGGAUUGUAGUCUGCAACUCGACUACAUGAAGCUGGAAUCGCUAGUAAUCGUAGAUCAGCAUGCUACGGUGAAUACGUUCCCGGGUCU
rnacentral:rRNA from 1 species